CAGUCUCUUUCGCUUAGGAUUCCCAGAAUGUAUCCCAGGUGCUUUGAGCUGAAGAUUGGGAUAAAGAGCAAUAUCUUGUACAGUGGAUGUUGUUCUCAGCUCUGAACUGACGUCUAGCUGAUGGCAAGCUGGCAACUUACUUCUCUCACCCUGCUCCUUAAGGACAAUUGGAAAGGUUUCUUUCUCUGUGUCUUCAAAAUUCAAGGUGUUUGAUAUGAAAGGAGGAAGCACAUCUUUUAAAGAAGAGUAAAUAUAAAAAAGUAAGCCCAUGGUAGAGUCAGUCUGGUAACUGCAGGAAAAGACACCUCUGUGAAACAGGCCAAAUGAACAUCCCUGUAGUUGGUGCAGUUUCCUAAGGACUGUUUCCACCCCUCCUCUCUCUGUUUCUGAGAAACUGUUAGGCUGAGAUGAGUAGUCUGCAGUACCUGCCAUAAGGAGGCAGAGAGAAAGCUUGCAUUUCACUUGCCGUUCACAACAUGGAAACCAGACGAAGAGUGUACUUGCAGAAAUUAGUCCAUAGCCAACAGCUUUCCCUAAGCUAUAUAUUCAAAAUAUAUUUUGAACCAUUCUGAAGGCUGGAAGAAAUGUGAAAGAAAAAUGUCUCACCAUUUUCCAGCCUCUCUGGCCAUUGAAUUUUUAUUAAGUUCCAAAAGCUGGGAAAGUCUAAAAUAUAUAGCUGUCUGCCUGCAGGAAAUUCAACAAUCACUUAAUUGUUUUGUCUUCUGAAAACAAAACCAUGAAAAAAAAGUGCCUUUCUAAAGAGUUCCAGCUCUCUUC